rnacentral:rRNA from 1 species
GACGAACGCUGGCGGCGUGCUUAACACAUGCAAGUCGAACGGUAAGGCCCUUCGGGGUACACGAGUGGCGAACGGGUGAGUAACACGUGGGUGAUCUGCCCUGCACUUCGGGAUAAGCCUGGGAAACUGGGUCUAAUACCGGAUAGGACCCUGGGAUGCAUGUCCUGGGGUGGAAAGCUUUUGCGGUGUGGGAUGGGCCCGCGGCCUAUCAGCUUGUUGGUGGGGUGAUGGCCUACCAAGGCGACGACGGGUAGCCGGCCUGAGAGGGUGACCGGCCACACUGGGACUGAGAUACGGCCCAGACUCCUACGGGAGGCAGCAGUGGGGAAUAUUGCACAAUGGGCGCAAGCCUGAUGCAGCGACGCCGCGUGAGGGAUGACGGCCUUCGGGUUGUAAACCUCUUUCAACAACGACGAAGCGCAAGUGACGGUAGGUGCAGAAGAAGGACCGGCCAACGACGGGACAGAAGAAGAAGUAA